GAGUUUGAUCCUGGCUCAGAAUGAACGCUGGCGGCGUGCCUAACACAUGCAAGUCGGAUGUGCCGCAAGGUGCAUGGCAGACGGGUGAGUAACGCGUGGGGAAUCUACCUCUUUGUGGGGAUAACGCUCCGAAAGGAGUGGUAAUACCGCAUGAGAUCCAUGGCUGGGAUGCUGUGGAUGAAACCUGGGGACCGCAAGGCCUGGGGCAAGGAGAGGAUCCUGCGUCUGAUUAGCUAGUUGGUGAGGUAAUGGCCCACCAAGGCGACGAUCAGUAGCCGGCCUGAGAGGGUGAUCGGCCACACUGGAACUGAGACACGGUCCAGACUCCUACGGGAGGCAGCAGUGGGGAAUUUUGCGCAAUGGGCGAAAGCCUGACGCAGCAACGCCGCGUGGGUGAUGAAGGUCUUCGGAUCGUAAAACCCUGUCGUCGGGGACGAAGGUGGAGGGGUUAAUAGCCUCUUUGCUUGACGGUACCCGGAGAGGAAGCCCCGGCUAACUCUGUGCCAGCAGCCGCGGUAAUACAGAGGGGGCAAGCGUUAUUCGGAAUUAUUGGGCGUAAAGGGCGCGUAGGCGGCUUUUUAAGUGAGAUGUGUAAUCUCUGAGCUCAACUUGGGAACUGCAUCUCAUACUGGGAGGCUAGAGUACUGGAGAGGGUGGUAGAAUUCCACGUGUAGCGGUGAAAUGCGUA
rnacentral:rRNA from 1 species